rnacentral:rRNA from 1 species
UGAGGAAUAUUGCACAAUGGGCGCAAGCCUGAUGCAGCGACGCCGCGUGUGGGAUGAAGGGGCUACGCCUCGUAAACCACUGUAGCCCGGGACGAAAAACGCCUUAGAGGCGUUAGACGGUACCGGGAAAGUAAGGGUCGGCUAACUACGUGCCAGCAGCCGCGGUAAUACGUAGGCAGCGAGCGUUGUUCGGAGUUACUGGGCGUAAAGAGUGCGUAGGCGGCGAGCCAAGUUUGGGGUGAAAUCUCCCGGCUUAACCGGGAGGGUGCGCCGAAAACUGGUUGGCGGGAGUAUGGGAGAGGACAGCGGAAUUCCUGGUGUAGCGGUGAAAUGCGUAGAUAUCAGGAGGAACACCUGCGGUGUAGACAGCUUUCUGGACCAAAACUGACGCUGAGGCACGAAAGCGUGGGUAGCAAACA